rnacentral:misc_RNA from 1 species
AACGCACCUUGCGCUCCUUGGUAUUCCGAGGAGCAUGCCUGUUUGAGUGUCAUUAAAUUCUCAAUCUCUACCAACUUGUGUGGUUUCGAGAUUGGAAGUGGGAGUCUUGUGGGUGUGUCUUAACUACAUCUGCUCUCCUAAAAAUCCUUAGCUGGGAAUGCCUUUGCAAAACCAACUAUCAGUAUGAUAAUUAUCUAUUCUGAUGUUGUUGUGAAGGGAAUCUGCUUCAAACCGUCGUUCUGACACUUUGAAUCUAUUUGACCUCAAAUCAGGUAGGACUACCCGCUGAACUUAA